GAUGGAAUUAAGCCAGCAAAAACUCCUCCCCAUAUAUACACAGAUAGGAUAAAGCCCUUCCCUUUCUCCCAUCACAACUCUAAUCCAUUCUGUGAGUGUAGAGUGUUGAAAAUGGAAAUGGAAAUGAGACCGUUUGAAACAGUUGUUCAACUCCCUCCGGUUGUGGCGGAGCAGCCGCCUGAAUCUGCUCUUCAAGGUCCCCAUCCUCUUGAUCCCGCCGCCGAGCCUUCUGAAUCGCUAGCCUAAGCUCCUCCUCCUCCUGUUGAUGCCCCGCCUGAACCAGUAAUUCCACGCAAUGCUCAGCAACAAGACCUAGAAUUGCCGAAGCUAGUUGUAGCGUUCUGCUUGACAGCAGCUUUUGAAAUCUCCUUCCGAUCCGUCCAGACUCGUAAACACUACCCUAUAACCUUCCAAUUGCCGUGUCUGUUAAUGGUGUUUGCACUCGCUUUUCUCGUUGUUGCUAAAUACAUCGUUGCCAACUACCCAAAACCAGGCCGCUUGCUUGAGCACGCUGGACUACUCUGUGGAGUUACCGCUUUCUUUGCGGCCAUCACCGUCUCUUUCUCUCUCUGCCUCAAGCUCAUUUCCUGGAUGGGAUUGGAAAUAAGCAUAGAAUAACAGGUGCACAAUACAUGUCCUGUUCCUGAAGUUUGUGUUUUCUACUUUGUAUUUAUACAUCUCUCAUUGAUAACAUCUAAAAUAACUUCGAAAGCCUGAUAAGUGAUGAGCGCUUGGCCGGUCGCGAUGACCUUCGGUGCUAUUACUGGAAUAGAACAACCAACUUCACUGGAUAAUUAUACUUGAUUGACUAGCAUAAGCAAAUAAUAUGAAGUGCCAAGCACUUAAAAGAAUUUGAAUAGAACAACCAACUUCACUGGAUAAUUAUACUUGAUUGACUAGCAUAAGCAAAUAAUAUGAAGUGCCAAGCACUUAAAAGGUAUUGGUCAUUCUCAGUGACUCCUAUUAGUUCUUCUGUGUCAUUUUACAUCCUUUAACAUUUGCUCAAUAUUGAUGACUGCAUAUUUCAAUAAACUCACAGAAUUUGACUUUCUUUAUAGAAUGCUUGCAUGGCAGUGAAGCUGUAAUAUCUACUCAGAUAGUUCUCACAUCCUGAUUGUCUCUAGCAUGUGAGUGAUUUUAUCUAUACAUUAUCCACUUAUUAUAUAAAUGAGUUCAAAUUUCCUGUUGCAGGAUGUUGAUGAAUGAAACACUGUCAAUGGCAGAUCCUUGAACUUACCAAAAAAAGAAAAAAAAAGAAAAGAAAGAAAGGUAGAUCCUUCAACUUAUACGAAUAUGAUGAACAAAAUAUUCCAGUUCAGAUUCAAUUACUAUAUUCUGAUAUGCCAGUAGCUAGGGACUUCAUUUUUCUUGUUUAAAGGCUUAUUACCAUCGAUUUUAUUGCUUUGUGUGCUAUUUAACUUGUUACAAAGCCUUGUUUUUAGUGUAACUCUGUUGGAUUCUAUGUCAGUUUCAUCGCUAAAAUGAACAAUUAAGAUUACUGGAAAAUCUGUUACUCUCAACAUAGAGAAUUCUAACCUGCUGAAGCUAGCAUAUGCUAAUUUUUUAUUUCGAGUCAGCUUGAGGAUGGUUGCACUGUGGCAAUGCAUUUUUCUACUGGUUAAAUGGUGGAUCAUCUCCCAUAAAAAUAAAAACAAAAGAAAGAAAGAUAGAAAGUAAAAAAAAGGAAAAAAAAUGGUGGAUCAUCAAUCUUACAUGACAAUAAUAUUCUGUUUAACUUGUUAAAAAGCCUUGUUUUUAGUGUAACUCUGCUGGGUUCUAUAUCAGUUUCAUUGCUGAUAUGAACGAUUAAGAUUACUGGAAAAUUUGUUACUUUCAACAUAGAGGGCUCUAACCAGCUGAAGCAAGCAGAUGCUAAUUUUUAUUUCGAAUUAGCUUCAGGAUGGUUGGACUGUGGCAAUGCAUUUUUCUAUUGGUUAAAUGGUGGAUCAUGAAUCUUAAUGACAAUAAUGUUUUCUGUUGUAGGCAAUGUGAGGUUAGUUGGCUUUGCUAACAUAAAUUCUUCAACUAAUUAAGGCGUAGUGAUGGCUAAAGGAAAUUGUUUGCUAGUGAAGAUCCAGUCAUCCUCUGAUCAGCUGCUAUUAUGUAGCUUGGGUAUUUUUUAUAUUAACAUUAACAGUUAGGGGUGAACCGCUGAUAUGUACCUUGGGUAUUUUUUAUAUUAACAUCAACAGUUAGGGGUGAAGAAUGGAACAUUUCAUUUUGCAUGACAACUUGGUAAUUUGAAAUAUACUUUUAUAAUCAUAUUACUGUACAAGGGAUGUUUAUCUUGCACUUGUGAAUAGGGAUUUUCUGGACCAAACAACUGUUUGGCUCAAUUGAUUUGUACAUGAAGUUGACAUCCUCUUACUUUUGUUUCACAUCCAAGUCUUUUCUACAAACCUGUAUUGUCCAACAAGAUGAGGGAUUUUAACUUUGUUAAUUAAAAAUUUCUUUUCUACGGUAGAAAUGUGAUUCUCGAACAAUUAAGAGCUGCCAAGGUAGUGAAACGGCACAUGAAUAAAUCAUCUUCUUAGAGGGAACAAGGUUUGACGAACCAAGACAUUGAUUAUGGAUGUUCUAAUGAAAUUCAGCUGUGACAUUGAAGUUUAUUUUAUGCCGUUGAUGAUGUCCUGUUUCGUUACAUUUUGAUUUGUUUCUAAAGUGACAAAAGUUGAAGUUUCCCUGAAGUAGUCACUCAAGAAUAAUGUGGAGCACUCCCCAGUUGCACAAGUGACCUCUACAUACUGGAGAGCUGUCCGUAAGCUACUCUAGAUCCAGAACACCAUUUCAGAGUCCCAGAAGCACCAGGUAAUUUUUCUACUCUUCAAUUUUCUUUUUCUUUUUCUUUUUUGGCUGCUCUGUCUCAAAUACCACUACACCUGCUGCGUAAACCCUAAAGACUGCAGUGUCAACCAAUUUCUUUGGUCGUUGCUCAACAUCGUCUUAAUUGGCCUAAGCAAAUGAUAGCAUUUUGCUUAACUUUAUCUGUCAAAAUAGCCCUCCAAUUUAUUCAAACCUGACUACUCUAACUUCCUCCAAUUUUUUUUUUCCCCUUGCAUUCUCACUAGCCUUUGCCUCCCUCUUUGUAGUGACUUGCUAUCUUCUUUGCUGCCACAGCAUUCUGCAUUGCUAUUUGAUUCCCUACAACAGCAGUCCUCCAUGCACCAACUGGUCUGUUUAUGCUGUCUCCUUGCUACUCAUUGUCAUAUACACCACACUAAUAAGCGUGAACGAGAACCUCAACAACCCCCCCCUCCCCUCAAAAAAAAAAAAAAAA